UACGGAGGGUGCAAGCGUUAUCCGGAUUUACUGGGCGUAAAGGGUGUGUAGGCGGUUGUUUAAGUUUGGGGUGAAAUCUCCCGGCUCAACUGGGAGGGUGCGCCGGAAACUGGAGUGCUUGAGCGUGGGAGAGGAAAGCGGAAUUCCUGGUGUAGCGGUGAAAUGCGUAGAUAUCAGGAGGAACACCUGUGGUGUAGACGGCUUUCUGGACCAUAGCUGACGCUGAGACACGAAAGCGUGGGUAGCAAACAGG
rnacentral:rRNA from 1 species